rnacentral:rRNA from 1 species
GACGAACGCUGGCGGCGUGCUUAACACAUGCAAGUCGAAUGGAAAGGCCCUGCUUUUGUGGGGUGCUCGAGUGGCGAACGGGUGAGUAACACGUGAGUAACCUGCCCUUGACUUUGGGAUAACUUCAGGAAACUGGGGCUAAUACCGGAUAGGAGCUCCUGCUGCAUGGUGGGGGUUGGAAAGUUUCGGCGGUUGGGGAUGGACUCGCGGCUUAUCAGCUUGUUGGUGGGGUAGUGGCUUACCAAGGCUUUGACGGGUAGCCGGCCUGAGAGGGUGACCGGCCACAUUGGGACUCGGAUACGGCCCAGACUCCUACGGGAGGCAGCAGUGGGGAAUAUUGCACAAUGGGCGGAAGCCUGAUGCAGCAACGCCGCGUGCGGGAUGACGGCCUUCGGGUUGUAAACCGCUUUCGCCUGUGACGAAGCGUGAGGGACGGUACUGGGGAAAGAAGCACCGGCUAACUACGU